UACGUAGGGUGCAAGCGUUGUCCGGAAUCAUUGGGCGUAAAGCGCGCGUAGGUGGCCAUUUAAGUCCGCUGUGAAAGUCAAAGGCUCAACCUUUGAAAGCCGGUGGAUACUGGAUGGCUAGAGUACGGAAGAGGCGAGUGGAAUUCCUGGUGUAGCGGCGGAAUGCGCAGAUAUCAGGAGGAACACCAAUAGCGAAGGCAGCUCGCUGGGACGUUACUGACACUGAGGCGCGAAAGCGUGGGGAGCGAACAGG
rnacentral:rRNA from 1 species